rnacentral:misc_RNA from 1 species
AAGACUAUAGACCUGCGGAGUACCUGCGGAGGGAUCAUUACUGAGUACCGGGUCUCUCAGGCCCUUACUCCCACCCUUUGUGUACCUUACCAAAUUUCAGUUGCCUUGGUGGUAGAGACUCUAAUUUAUGUGGGGCAGAGCUCACCACCAUUGGAACUUUUUUAAACUCUUUAUGAAUUGUGUCGUCUGAGAACAAAAAACAAAUAAAUUAAAACUUUUAACAACGGAUCUCUAGAUCGG